GGUGGGGGGGGGGGGGGGGGGGGGGGGGGGGGGGGGGGGGGGGGGGGGGGGGGGGGGGGGGGGGGGGGGGGGGGGGGGGGGGGGGGGGGGGGGGGGGGGGGGGGGGGGGGGGGGGGGGGGGGGGGGGGGGGGGGGGGGGGGGGGGGGGGGGGGGGGGGGGGGGGGGGGGGGGGGGGGGGGGGGGGGGGGGGGGGGGGGGGGGGGGGGGGGGGGGGGGGGGGGGGGGGGGGGGGGGGGGGGGGGGGGGGGGGGGGGGGGGGGGGGGGGGGGGGGGGGGGGGGGGGGGGGGGGGGGGGAUCAC
rnacentral:lncRNA from 1 species